UACGUAGGCAGCGAGCGUUGUUCGGAGUUACUGGGCGUAAAGGGCGUGUAGGCGGUCCUCUAAGUUUGGUGUGAAAUCUCCCGGCUCAACCGGGAGGGUGCGCCGAAAACUGGAGGGCUAGAGUGCGGGAAGGGAGAGUGGAAUUCCUGGUGUAGCGGUGAAAUGCGUAGAUAUCAGGAGGAACACCGGUGGUGUAGACGGCUCUCUGGACCGCGACUGACGCUGAGACACGAAAGCGUGGGUAGCAAACAGG
rnacentral:rRNA from 1 species